UACGUAAGGGGCGAGCGUUACUCGGAAUUACUGGGCGUAAAGCGUGCGUAGGUGGUUUGUUAAGUCUGUUGUGAAAGCCCCGGGCUCAACCUGGGAAUGGCAAUGGAUACUGGCAGGCUAGAGUGCGGUAGAGGGUAGUGGAAUUCCCGGUGUAGCGGUGAAAUGCGUAGAGAUCGGGAGGAACACCAGUGGCGAAGGCGGCUACCUGGACCAGCACUGACACUGAGGCACGAAAGCGUGGGGAGCAAACAGG
rnacentral:rRNA from 1 species